rnacentral:rRNA from 1 species
CGUACACUCCUACGGGAGGCAGCAGUGGGGAAUAUUGCACAAUGGGCGCAAGCCUGAUGCAGCCAUGCCGCGUGUAUGAAGAAGGCCUUCGGGUUGUAAAGUACUUUCAGCGGGGAGGAAGGCAAUACGGUUAAUAACCGUGUUGAUUGACGUUACCCGCAGAAGAAGCACCGGCUAACUCCGUGCCAGCAGCCGCGGUAAUACGGAGGGUGCAAGCGUUAAUCGGAAUUACUGGGCGUAAAGCGCACGCAGGCGGUCUGUCAAGUCGGAUGUGAAAUCCCCGGGCUCAACCUGGGAACUGCAUUCGAAACUGGCAGGCUUGAGUCUUGUAGAGGGGGGUAGAAUUCCAGGUGUAGCGGUGAAAUGCGUAGAGAUCUGGAGGAAUACCGGUGGCGAAGGCGGCCCCCUGGACAAAGACUGACGCUCAGGUGCGAAAGCGUGGGGAGCAAACAGGAUUAGAAACCCUUGUAGUCCCAUGAU